GACAGAGGAUGCAAGCGUUAUCCGGAAUUAUUGGGCGUAAAGCGUCCGCAGGUGGUUAUCCAAGUCUGCUGUUAAAGCGCGAGGCUUAACUUCGUACAGGCAGUGGAAACUGGGUGACUGGAGUAUGGUAGGGGUAGCGGGAAUUCCCAGUGUAGCGGUGAAAUGCGUAGAUAUUGGGAAGAACACCAGCGGCGAAAGCGCGCUACUGGGCCAUUACUGACACUCAUGGACGAAAGCUAGGGGAGCGAAAGGG
rnacentral:rRNA from 1 species